UCGAGAAUUUUUCACAAUGGGCGCAAGCCUGAUGGAGCGACGCCGCGUGGGGGAUGAAUGGCUUCGGCCCGUAAACCCCUGUCAUUCGCGAUCAAACCUUGCUAUUUAAAAGAUGGUGAGCUGAUAGUAGCGGAAGAGGAAGGGACGGCUAACUCUGUGCCAGCAGCCGCGGUAAUACAGAGGUCCCAAGCGUUGUUCGGAUUCACUGGGCGUAAAGGGUGCGUAGGUGGUAGGGUAAGUCGGAUGUGAAAGCUCGGAGCUCAACUCCGAAAUGGCAUUGGAAACUACCCUGCUUGAGGAUUGGAAGGGGGACUGGAAUACUUGGUGUAGCAGUGAAAUGCGUAGAUAUCAAGUAGAACACCAGUGGCGAAAGCGAGUCCCUGGACAAUUCCUGACACUGAGGCACGAAAGCUAGGGGAGCAAACAGG
rnacentral:rRNA from 2 species